UGAACGCUGGCGGCGUGCCUAAUACAUGCAAGUCGAACGCACAGCGAAAGGUGCUUGCACCUUUCAAGUGAGUGGCGAACGGGUGAGUAACACGUGGACAACCUGCCUCAAGGCUGGGGAUAACAUUUGGAAACAGAUGCUAAUACCGAAUAAAACUUAGUGUCGCAUGACACAAAGUUAAAAGGCGCUUCGGCGUCACCUAGAGAUGGAUCCGCGGUGCAUUAGUUAGUUGGUGGGGUAAAGGCCUACCAAGACAAUGAUGCAUAGCCGAGUUGAGAGACUGAUCGGCCACAUUGGGACUGAGACACGGCCCAAACUCCUACGGGAGGCUGCAGUAGGGAAUCUUCCACAAUGGGCGAAAGCCUGAUGGAGCAACGCCGCGUGUGUGAUGAAGGCUUUCGGGUCGUAAAGCACUGUUGUAUGGGAAGAACAGCUAGAAUAGGAAAUGAUUUAGUUUGACGGUACCAUACCAGAAAGGGACGGCUAAAUACGUG
rnacentral:rRNA from 1 species